rnacentral:rRNA from 1 species
UACAGAGGGUGCAAGCGUUGUUCGGAAUUAUUGGGCGUAAAGGGCGCGUAGGCGGUGCGGUAAGUCACCUGUGAAAUCUCCUGGCUCAACUGGGAGCUUGCAGGCGAAACUGUCGGGCUUGAGUAUGGGAGAGGUGAGUGGAAUUUCCGGUGUAGCGGUGAAAUGCGUAGAUAUCGGAAGGAACACCUGUGGCGAAAGCGGCUCACUGGACCAUUACUGACGCUGAGGCACGAAAGCUAGGGGAGCAAACAGG